CAGUAGGCAUCUCUGUCAUCUAAAUUACCCAAGAUGUGGUAGGCAGUCUGUGUCAGUCUGUGAGCAGAGUUUGAGAAGCCCUGCCUGCCGUAAGUCCUCUAUCUUCCCCACGAGACUGCAAGCAUCAUGAGGGCAGGUAAUCUUGAUGAGCUUCUCUGGUUCCUUUAAUCUGGCCUCCAG